UGGCUCCAUUGCUGCUGAGCAAAUCAAUACUUGUGAAUCCAAUAUUGUCAGUGCACGAAAAUUCAAUCAAGAUGACUUGCUGCAGUGAUAAACAUAAGUAUGAGAAAAAAGUAGAAGAUUCAAGAGAAUGAAAUGAAACUACUGGAAUCAACACAAAAAAAUCGUAAGAAAAUUUACAUGCAAGUGCCUACCUUCUCCAGCUGUUAUAAGAGAAAGCGCAUGAGCAGGGGAUACAAUAAUGAGAGAUUCAUUGCAGAAUUUUAGAGGGCAAAGCGAUACAAGUGGUCAAGUUGCUUGAUGAGUGAAAAGGUGGCAAGAGAGACACAAGAAGACUAUCUAACUAAGAGUUGCUUGAUGCAGGAGUCAUUGUCAUGUGAGCUAUCAUAUCCAGAUUGAACAAUCAAUCAGUUAAAUCGAUCAUAACAAUUGUUUUCUGCUGCCUAUGGUCAUGUUGUGUGUGUC